GUGUGGAACUCGUGAUCAGAGAAUCUUGAUUCUUGAUCACAGAGUCUCAGACAUGUAGGACUCAGAGUCCCUAAGCAUUAGGACUCUUGGUCGAAGAGUCUCAGUCCAGUGGGACUCUUCACCAGCCAUCAGAUCAGAUAGGAACUUCUAAUGUGUGUGACCCCACAGGUUCGAACCUAAGCUAGUAGCACGGGAAUAAAUUUUUGUACUAAUCAAAGUGACCAUCUAGCAAUGGUACCUAACAUCCGGA
rnacentral:lncRNA from 1 species